AUCUAUCGAAAAGAUUAGAUCAGUUCGGUUCAGUUUUCACAACUUUUGCUGCAAGUUUCUGCCUGGAAGAUUUACACUGGCCGAAGUGAAUUGCCAACUUGAGAAGACAACAAAAUAUACAUGUGUAUACAUUAUAACCUGAUGUUGGUGUUGGUUGUGAAUCGCAAUUUAUAUUAGUCAUCCUAUUACAGAGAAUUACCACCUAAUGUGGAAGUCCUGUCUUCAAGUGAGGGAAAAUGACACUGCAAAAAGUUACAAAAAUAGUUACAACGAAAUUAAAAAGAAUUUUGAAUGUCGAUCAUGACUUGGUGUAAAUUGUACAUCAUGUAAAGGUAUGUG